GGAUUCCUCUGGAGACGGAUUUCGGAAUUGGGACAGUGGCUGCCCCUACCCCCUCUAAGUGGCCGCCUCAUCCGGAGGAAAAGACUUUAUUACUUGCAAGUAAGGAGAACGCUGAAGAUCCCUCCUAAAGCAGUGUCUGGUUAAACUUCCAGAAGCAUCAGUUUUACUUGAAUAUUUGGAGGGAAAUUUUUUAAAAUCUAAUUUAAAUUUAAAACAUGAUUUUUAAAAUA